rnacentral:rRNA from 1 species
GACGGAGGAUGCAAGUGUUAUCCGGAAUCACUGGGCGUAAAGCGUCUGUAGGUGGUCAAAUAAGUCAACUGUUAAAUCUUGAGGCUCAACCUCAAAAUCGCAGUCGAAACUAUUAGACUAGAGUAUAGUAGGGGUAAAGGGAAUUUCCAGUGGAGCGGUGAAAUGCGUAGAGAUUGGAAAGAACACCGAUGGCGAAGGCAGGUCUCUGGGCAUUAACUGACGCUGAGGAGCGAAAGCAUGGGGAGCGAACAGG